rnacentral:rRNA from 1 species
CCUACGGGCGGCAGCAGUGAGGAAUAUUGGUCAAUGGUCGGGAGACUGAACCAGCCAAGCCGCGUGAGGGAUGAAGGUACAGAGUAUCGUAAACCUCUUUUGUCAGGGAACAAAGGCGGGGACGCGUCCCCGGAUGAGUGUACCUGAAGAAAAAGCAUCGGCUAACUCCGCGCCAGCAGCCGCGGUAAUACGGAGGAGGCGAGCGUUAUCCGGAUUUCUUGGGUUUAAAGGGUGCGCGGGCGGUCUGUUAAGUCAGCGGUAAAAGCCCGGCGCUCAACCCCGGCCCGCCGUUGAAACUGGCAGUCUCGAGUGGGAGAGAAGUAUGCGGAAUGCGCGGUGUAGCGGUGAAAUGCAUAGAUAGCGCGCAGAACUCCGAUUGCGAAGGCAGCAUGCCGGCUCCACACUGACGCUGAGGCACGAAAGCGUGGGUAUCGAACAGGAUUAGAUACCCGAGUAGUC